rnacentral:rRNA from 1 species
AGUUGGAAACGACUGCUAAGACUGGAUAGGAGACAAGAAGGCAUCUUCUUGUUUUUAAAAGACCUAGCAAUAGGUAUGCUUAGGGAGGAGCUUGCGUCACAUUAGUUAGUUGGUGGGGUAAAGGCCUACCAAGACUAUGAUGUGUAGCCGGGCUGAGAGGUUGAACGGCCACAUUGGGACUGAGACACGGCCCAAACUCCUACGGGAGGCAGCAGUAGGGAAUUUUCGGCAAUGGAGGAAACUCUGACCGAGCAACGCCGCGUGAACGAUGAAGUAUUUCGGUACGUAAAGUUCUUUUAUUAGGGAAGAAUAAAUGAUGGAAAAAUCAUUCUGACGGUACCUAAUGAAUAAGCCCCGGCUAACUAUGUGCCAGCAGCCGCGGUAAUACAUAGGGGGCAAGCGUUAUCCGGAAUUAUUGGGCGUAAAGGGUGCGUAGGCGGUUAAAUAAGUUUAUGGUCUAAGUGCAAUGCUCAACAUUGUGAUGCUAUAAAAACUGUUUAGCUAGAGUAAGAUAGAGGCAAGUGGAAUUCCAUGUGUAGUGGUAAAAUGCGUAAAUAUAUGGAGGAACACCAGUAGCGAAGGCGGCUUGCUGGGUCUUUACUGACGCUGAGGCACGAAAGCGUGGGGAGCAAACAGGAUUAGAUACCCUGGUAGUCCACGCCGUAAACGAUGAGUACUAAACGUUGGGUAAAACCAGUGUUGAAGUUAACACAUUAAGUACUCCGCCUGAGUAGUACGUACGCAAGUAUGAAACUUAAAGGAAUUGACGGGACUCCGCACAAGCGGUGGAUCAUGUUGUUUAAUUCGAAGGUACCCGAAAAACCUCACCAGGUCUUGACAUGCUUCUGCAAAGCUGUAGAAACACAGUGGAGGUUAUCAGUUGCACAGGUGGUGCAUGGUUGUCGUCAGCUCGUGUCGUGAGAUGUUGGGUUAAGUCCCGCAACGAGCGCAACCCUUAUUGUUAGUUACCAGCACGUAAUGGUGGGGACUUUAGCAAGACUGCCAGUGAUAAAUUGGAGGAAGGUGGGGACGACGUCAAAUCAUCAUGCCCCUUAUGACCUGGGCUACAAACGUGAUACAAUGGCUGUUACAAAGGGUAGCUGAAGCGCAAGUUUUUGGCGAAUCUCAAAAAAACAGUCUCAGUUCGGAUUGAAGUCUGCAACUCGACUUCAUGAAGUUGGAAUCGCUAGUAAUCGCGAAUCAGCAUGUCGCGGUGAAUACGUUCUCGGGGUUUGUACACACCGCCCGUCAAACCACG